AGUUACUCCCCUCCACCUGAGUUACUUUAACCUCUCAUCCACCGCUUCUUCUCAAUCCACAAAACUUUCAACCGCUUGGAAUGCCGGCAAUCAAGUUUCUUCCUUCCACCACUUCUUACGCUUCUCCAAACCUUCUCCUCUCUUUUGAAAGAAAUCAACACAAAGAGGCCACAAAUCGAACUUAUGGGAGUUCUUCUAUGAUACCACCGUAGAGUGCAGUCGAUCGAUCGCUCAGUUUGCUUCUUCGAUUCCGCCAUAGCCGACGCGGACGAGUCCGCCUCCACCACAGAACACUCCGAUGAGUCUACCUCCACCACUGCAGAAGUCGGCGAGCCCUAAUUUCAUGCAACUCUACUUCGACUACGGCGACAUCCACAACCGACGAGUCCUGCUUCGAUGUCGGAUACAUUCAAUGCCGGUAAUUCCUAGGAUGGGGAUGGGGCUUUCUAGUGGUGCAACACUUCGACCGGGUUUUCUUUUGGAUUUGGGUUUUCCGAUUUUGGUAUUACCUCAAUUGUUGGUGUCAAGAUCCGACUGCUAGAGUUUGAAAUGGUUUUCAAUCUCGUCUCCUUUUGUAUUGAAUCGAUGGAAAACACGUCGUAGGGAAGAUACCUUCUAGCCACCACCAUUACUGGAUAUAGAAGGCUGCGAAAGGAUGUCAAGUCUAAUGAAGACGAAAUAUGGAGGGAUCUCUUGGUAAAGGAGAUCAACUGGAUGGAGAAAGCUUGUCGAUAAAAGGAGAGGAUGAUGAGGUUUUAUUCUGUAAGUACAUGAUACUUUUGAUUCAUAGAAUCUGGGAAGGAACAGAAAGGUUCAUUUCAUACAUUAUGGUAUAAUAACACACCAUUAUAAAUUGUUACAUAUUCAACUACGCCGAUCUACCGACUACUAUUUCCUUUUGUGAUAUUUUGAGAGAGGCAUCAGGUUGCUGCAAAGUGAGAAUGCAUUUUAUUUUCUAUA